CCCUGGGGCUGGGGCUGGCUCCCAGAUGGGGUGUUUUUUAUCUGUAAAAAUUGUUUUUAAAUAACUCAUUACAUUAUAAAAAUAAAGUUUUGGCCAGUGCUGGGAUUACAGGUGUGAGCCACCAUACCUGGCUGCUGAGACCGCUCAUCUCUCUUCCUUCCCAUUGUAGGGCAAGCUGGUAUUUCCAUUCUCCAGGAGGACUUUCCUGCUUUAUUCAACAACAAACAUCCAUUGAGCAGCUAUGGUUUCUAAGUGUGCACCACUGGGCUUAGAAUUGUUGAUGGGCUUGAGGGGAUUAAUCUCAACUCCAGC
rnacentral:lncRNA from 1 species